UACGAAGGGGGCUAGCGUUGCUCGGAAUCACUGGGCGUAAAGGGUGCGUAGGCGGGUCUUAAGUCAGGGUGAAAGCCGGGCUCAACCCCGGAACAGCCUUGAGACUGGAUGCUUGAACGAUCGGAGAGGUGAGUGGAAUUCCGAGUGUAGAGGUGAAAUUCGUAGAUAUUCGGAAGAACACCAGUGGCGAGGCGGCUCACUGGACGAUGUUGACGCUGAGGUGGCGAAAGCGUGGGGAGCA
rnacentral:rRNA from 1 species